GAGUGGGGAGUAAAACUCUGAUUUAAAGAUGCUUUCCUUCUAUCUUUUAGCCACUCUGCUGGCUUUAAGCACAGCCCAGCAAGAGGUUCAAGACAAAGGGACUGGUGUUUGGCAAGACCAGGAUGCACAGGAGGAAGACAGUCAAGUCGGACAACCAA